rnacentral:tRNA from 2 species
GGGGGAUUAGCUCAGUUGGGAUGAGCACCUGCUUUGCACGCAGGGGGUCACGAGUUCGAGUCUCGUAUCCUCCACCA